rnacentral:rRNA from 1 species
UGGGGAAUAUUGCGCAAUGGGGGGAACCCUGACGCAGCCAUGCCGCGUGAAUGAAGAAGGCCUUAGGGUUGUAAAGUUCUUUCGGUAUUGAGGAAGGUUGAUGUGUUAAUAGCACAUCAAAUUGACGUUAAAUACAGAAGAAGCACCGGCUAACUCCGUGCCAGCAGCCGCGGUAAUACGGAGGGUGCGAGCGUUAAUCGGAAUAACUGGGCGUAAAGGGCACGCAGGCGGUUAUUUAAGUGAGGUGUGAAAGCCCUGGGCUUAACCUAGGAAUUGCAUUUCAGACUGGGUAACUAGAGUACUUUAGGGAGGGGUAGAAUUCCACGUGUAGCGGUGAAAUGCGUAGAGAUGUGGAGGAAUACCGAAGGCGAAGGCAGCCCCUUGGGAAUGUACUGACGCUCAUGUGCGAAAGCGUGGGGAGCAAACAGGAUUAGAUACCCUGGUAGUCCACGCUGUAAACGCUGUCGAUUUGGGGGUUGGGGUUUAACUUUGGCGCCCGUAGCUAACGUGAUAAAUCGACCGCCUGGGGAGUACGGCCGCAAGGUUA